GGCCCGGGGUUCGGAUCUCAGGCGCGCACCGACGCACCGCUUCUCCGGCCAUGCUGAGGCCGCAUCCCACAUACAGCAACUAGAAGGAUGUGCAGCUAUGACAUACAGCUAUCUACUGGGGCUUUGGGGGGAAAAUAAAUAAAUAAAUAAAAAUUUAAAAAAAAGAAAUCUAUUACAUGUAUGCUAUUUUCAAAUACCUGUAACUUAACAUCAUCCCCCAAACCCAGUUUCAUAAGAGGGAUUCCAGAUUCCCAAUACAGUUUAAAACCAAA